UAGCUACUCCCUCCGUUCCAAAAUAGAUGACUCAAAUUUGUACCAACUUUAGGUACAAAUUUGAGUCAUCUAUUUUGGAACGGAGGGAGUAGAAC
rfam:Triticum aestivum genome assembly, contig: Triticum_aestivum_CS42_TGACv1_scaffold_343876_4DL